AAUCCACAUUUAACGUGAUGGAUUUUGUGUGUGUGUGUAUGAUCGAGUUUUUUUUGUUUGUUAUAGAUUUGUGUGUGUGUGUGCAGUCAUUGGUGACCGGGCUGAGACCACGCAUCAACUCACUGCACCCGAGGUGGACCCAGUCCAAUCUCAGGCCGCAACCGGACUCGACUCUCCACACACUCGCGUCGAUCUCCUCUCUCCUCCCUCCUCCACCUCGCGGCCACGUGUAAUUUCUGCCACGGAUCCCCUGCGAGGAGGGAGCAAGUAACCGCGCUCAUCAAUAUUCCUCGCGGGGUCGCGGCGCACUCCGCACGGCACACCCGGAGCCUCCUCAUCAUUCCGCACCACGCGCCUCGCUCCAGCCCCGACGUGCGGCGAGCGUCCCUGGCCCAUGCGUGGCACCGCGGCGGCGAGAUGUUAACUCCCUCGCCUGGAGGCGCAAACGCGGCCAGGGAGCGAGGAGGAAUGCGCGGGCGGGACUCCCCAAGUCCUCCACGCCCGCGCCAUUCACGGGCCUCGGCACAAUGAGCCCAACAAAGGGGUGGUGGUGGUGGAGGGGCAGCGGCAAUUCCCGGUCGCUCGACAGAUGCCAGCGCAUGACGCGUGAAGAGGCGACGUGUCGCUCUAUCCCACUUGUCUUCUUCAUCGUCGGCGUACAACGGGCUCUUCCUGAGCCUCGGGAAGUUGUCUCCAGUGCCCUCAUCCCCAAACAGCAGAGUUGACAUCUCGGUGGAGUCUGCGUGUUCUCUCUCCCCGUGGUCGCGUGGAUUUGCCACCCCCCCCCCCCC